rfam:Anoxybacillus flavithermus WK1, complete genome.
AAAAUUUAAGAUGCGCACCUUCGUAUAUCCUCGAUAAUAUGGUUCGAGAGUCUCUACCGGGACACCGUAAAUGACCCGACUACGAAGGCAGUGUUCUAUAUU